GACGAACGCUGGCGGCGUGCUUAACACAUGCAAGUCGAACGGAAAGGCCCUGCUUUUGUGGGGUGCUCGAGUGGCGAACGGGUGAGUAACACGUGUGUAACCUGCCCUUGACUUUGGGAUAACUUCAGGAAACUGGGGCUAAUACCGGAUAGGAGCUCCUGCUGCAUGGUGGGGGUUGGAAAGUUUCGGCGGUUGGGGAUGGAAUCGCGGCUUAUCAGCUUGUUGGUGGAGUAGUGGCUUACCAAGGCUUUGACGGGUAGCCGGCCUGAGAGGGUGACCGGCCACAUGGGGACUGAGAUACGGCCCAGACUCCUACGGGAGGCAGCAGUGGGGAAUAUUGCACAAUGGGCGGAAGCCAGAUGCAGCAACGCCGCGUGCGGGAUGACGGCCUUCGGGUUGUAAACCGCUUUCGCCUGUGACGAAGCGUGAGUGACGGUAAUUGGUAAAGAAGCACCGGCUAACUACGUG
rnacentral:rRNA from 1 species